CAGUGCAGUCAGAGGUUGCACAAGUCACUGCCCCAAACCAGGCUUGACUUUCUGGGCUGGUGCUCACCUCUUCCAGCUGAGUGGCUGCCUGUGUUUCCGCGGGGGAGGCAGGAGGGAUCGCCUGGAGAACCCAGGCAUCGCUCCCAGCAUUUGCCUAAUAGGCACCUCGGAAAUGCAUCCUGGGAGCCGUGACUCUUUCUGAGCAGCAGCUGUUUCUCUCCGGUGAAGGGAGCAGAAGUCAUCAAUUCUCCCUCCUGGCUGACCCUGAACUGCUCACGCUGCAGGCAGGCCAGGCAGCAUCUGUCUGGGACACCUCUGAUGGGGCUGAAGGCACAAGAGGAAGAAGAGCCACGUAUGGAGCCAGAGGGAUGCUGGUGUGAACUGGGAACGAGAGCAGCUGAGCUUUGGGAUCAGCCUUUACUGGAGCCACCUGGGACCAAUUGCAUGGUCCUGCCCUGUUCUUGCAGGCAGCACAGCAUUCUUCUGGGGCAGAG